rnacentral:rRNA from 1 species
UACGUAGGGUGCAAGCGUUAAUCGGAAUUACUGGGCGUAAAGCGUGCGCAGGCGGUUUUGUAAGUCUGUCGUGAAAUCCCCGGGCUCAACCUGGGAAUGGCGAUGGAGACUGCAAGGCUAGAGUUUGGCAGAGGAGGGUAGAAUUCCACGUGUAGCAGUGAAAUGCGUAGAUAUGUGGAGGAACACCGAUGGCGAAGGCAGCCCCCUGGGUCAAAACUGACGCUCAUGCACGAAAGCGUGGGGAGCAAACAGG